rnacentral:rRNA from 1 species
CCUACGGGAGGCAGCAGUGGGGAAUAUUGCACAAUGGGGGAAACCCUGAUGCAGCGACGCCGCGUGAGUGAAGAAGUAUUUCGGUAUGUAAAGCUCUAUCAGCAGGGAAGAAAAUGACGGUACCUGAUUAAGAAGCCCCGGCUAACUACGUGCCAGCAGCCGCGGUCAUACGAAGGGGGCAAGCUGUAUCCGGAUUUACUGGGGGUAAAGGGAGCGUAGACUGCAGCACAAGUCUGGAGUGAAAUGCCGGGGCUUAACCCCGGAACUGCUUUGGAAACUGUGCAGCUAGAGUGCAGGAGAGGUAAGUGGAAUUCCUAGUGUAGCGGUGAAAUGCGUAGAUAUUAGGAAGAACACCAGUGGCGAAGGCGGCUUACUGGACUGUAACUGACGUUGAGGCUCGAAAGCGUGGGGAGCAAACAGGAUUAGAUACCCCAGUAGUC